rnacentral:rRNA from 1 species
UACUCUGAGUAGUUGAUCUCUCGGCUCACGAGUCGAUGAAGAACGCACCCAGCUGCGAGACUUGGUGUGAGUUACAGGACACACUGAGCACUGAUUUUUCGAACACGCAUUGUGGUCUUGGGUGAUACCCGGGACCUCGCCUGUCUGAGGGUCA